CAGUCGCCGCGGUAAUACGAAGGGUGCAAGCGUUACUCGGAAUUACUGGGCGUAAAGCGUGCGUAGGUGGUUGUUUAAGUCUGCUGUGAAAGCCCUGGGCUCAACCUGGGAAUUGCAGUGGAUACUGGGCGACUAGAGUAAGGUAGAGGAUAGUGGAAUUUCCGGUGUAGCAGUGAAAUGCGUAGAGAUCGGAAGGAACAUCUGUGGCGAAGGCGACUAUCUGGGCCAACACUGACACUGAGGCACGAAAGCGUGGGGAGCAAACAGGAUUAGAUACCCGCGUAGUCCCUGUCUCUUAUAA
rnacentral:rRNA from 1 species